GACGAACGCUGGCGGCGUGCUUAACACAUGCAAGUCGAACGAAGUGGCGAACGGGUGAGUAAUACGUGGGUGACCUGCCCUCCUUUUUGGGGUACGCCUUGGAACCGUGGUCUAAUACCGGAUAAAGGGGGAGGGGCUCGUGGCAUAUCAGCGGGUUGGGGGGGUGAGGGCCUACCAAGGCGGUGCCGGGUAGCCGGCCUGAGAGGGUGACCGGCCACAUAGGGACGGAGCUACGGCCCAGACGCGUAAGGGGGGGGGAAGUGGGGGAUAUUGCAGAAUGCGUGAAAGAGUGAUGCAGCGAGUGUGCGUGGGGGAUGAAGGCUUUCGGGUUGUAAACGUCGGUCGCUAUCGAAGGGGUAGGUGGAGAAGAAGCGCCGGCUAACUACGUGCCAGCAGCCGCGGUAAUAC
rnacentral:rRNA from 1 species